rnacentral:rRNA from 1 species
UGGGGAAUUUUGGACAAUGGGCGCAAGCCCGAUCCAGCAAUGCCGCGUGCAGGAUGAAGGCCUUCGGGUUGUAAACUGCUUUUGUACGGAGCGAAAAGGUCUGCCCUAAUACGGUGGGCUCAUGACGGUACCGUAAGAAUAAGCACCGGCUAACUACGUGCCAGAAGCCGCGGUAAUACGUAGGGUGCAAGCGUUAAUCGGAAUUACUGGGCGUAAAGCGUGCGCAGGCGGUUAUGUAAGUCAGAUGUGAAAUCCCCGGGUUCAACCUGGGACCGGCAUUUGUGACUGGAUAGCUAGAGUACGGCAGAGGGGAAUGGAAUUCCGCGUGUAGCAGUGAAAUGCGUAGAUAUGCGGAGGAACACCAAUGGCGAAGGCAAUCCCCUGGACCUGUACUGACGCUCAUGCACGAAAGCGUGGGGAGCAAACA